GCAUGCAAGUCGAACGAGAACCGUAGCAAUACGGGUAAAGUGGCGAAAGGGGCAGUAAUGCAUGGGUAAUCUACCCCGGGGACGUGGAUAGCCAUCCUAACGGGUGGGUAAUACACGGCGAUUCGGCGGCGACGCAUGUUGCUGUCGGGAAAGGAAUUUCGCCUCGGGAGGAGCUCAUGUCGUAUUAGCUAGUUGGUGGGGUAACGGCUCACCAAGCCUACGACGGGUAGCGGGCGUGAGAGCGCGACCCGCCUCAUCGGGACUGAGACACUGCCCGGACACCUACGGGUGGCUGCAGUAACGAAUCUUGGGCAAUGGGCGCAAGCCUGACCCAGCAAUGCCGCGUGCAGGAGGAAGCCCUUCGGGGUGUAAACUGCUGUUAGGGUCUCGCAAGCGAGGGGAGCUAACAUCUCCCUGAGUUGAGCCGACCCAGGGGAAGCCUCGGCUAACUCUGUGCCAGCAGCCGCGGUAAGACAGAGGAGGCAAGCGUUGUUCGGAAUCACUGGGCUUAAAGGGGGUGUAGGCGGCCGCGUAAGUGUCGUGUGAAAUCCCAUGGCUCAACCAUGGAACUGCAUGGCAUACUGCGUGGCUUGAGUGCGGCAGAGGUGCCUGGAACUCUAGGUGGAGCGGUGAAAUGCGUAGAUAUCUAGAGGAACGCCAGAAGCGAAAGCGGGGCACUGGGCCGUUACUGACGCUGAGACCCGAAAGCGUGGGGAGCAAACAGGAUUAGAUACCCUGGUAGUCCACGCCGUAAACGAUGCACACUAGGCGUUGGGGAUUCUCACAUCUUCGGCGCCGAAGGAAAACUGGUAAGUGUGCCGCCUGGGGAGUACGGCCGCAAGGCUAACACUCAAAGGAAUUGACGGGGGCUCACACAAGCGGUG
rnacentral:rRNA from 1 species